GACGAACGCUGGCGGCGUGCUUAACACAUGCAAGUCGAGCGAACGGACGAGAAGCUUGCUUCUCUGAUGUUAGCGGCGGACGGGUGAGUAACACGUGGAUAACCUACCUAUAAGACUGGGAUAACUUCGGGAAACCGGAGCUAAUACCGGAUAAUAUUUUGAACCGCAUGGUUCAAUAGUGAAAGACGGUCUUGCUGUCACUUAUAGAUGGAUCCGCGCUGCAUUAGCUAGUUGGUAAGGUAACGGCUUACCAAGGCAACGAUGCAUAGCCGACCUGAGAGGGUGAUCGGCCACACUGGAACUGAGACACGGUCCAGACUCCUACGGGAGGCAGCAGUAGGGAAUCUUCCGCAAUGGGCGAAAGCCUGACGGAGCAACGCCGCGUGAGUGAUGAAGGUCUUCGGAUCGUAAAACUCUGUUAUUAGGGAAGAACAUAUGUGUAAGUAACUGUGCACAUCUUGACGGUACCUAAUCAGAAAGCCACGGCUAACUACGUG
rnacentral:rRNA from 1 species